GAGGAGGAGGAGAAUCUCCCCCUUUACCCCCUUUGGACUCUAGUCACGACUGCAGACCACAGGAGGCUCAGACAGAGAGAAGGUGAAGAAGAUGAAGAAGCUGGUGGUGUUUUCGCUGUGCCUGGUCCUGCUGACCUUCUACACAGAUGCCAACCCUAUCAUCAAAGAGCGCUUCGCUAAGCAGCUGCUCCGCAGCAAGAGGCAGGAGCGACCAAUGAAGGCUGGCCACCCCGAUGAGCCAAUGCGGGAGCAUCUUCUGCACAUGCAGGCUCUGGAUCAGAGGGCCCAGGAGACCAAUAUGGAGAACUGGCUGAACCCCCACUGCUACCCCCGCUGUGACAGGAACUACGGAUACCCUGUGUGAUCAGGUCACCACUAGUGUCUACUUUCAGGACCAACUCCAAAUGUUUGAUGCACAUGAAAGCACACAGUAAUUGACAGACCACAAAUGAGGACAUGGAUUCCAGACGGAAACAAUAAAAGGAUGAAAUACUCUCUCCUGAAAUGACCUCUUGAUGUCUGCUGACUAACUCAUAUAUAUAAUCUAAUAACAGCUGUGUAGUUUAGUGUCUUUAACAUCUCUAUUGUGUUCUACCAACAUUUAUGAAUAAAUCAUAACGCAUGAGA